rnacentral:misc_RNA from 1 species
GAUGAAGAACGUAGCGAAAUGCGAUAAGUAAUGUGAAUUGCAGAAUUCAGUGAAUCAUCGAAUCUUUGAACGCACAUUGCGCCCCCUGGUAUUCCGGGGGGCAUGCCUGUCCGAGCGUCAUUACAACCCUCAAGCUCAGCUUGGUGUUGGGCCCCGCCGCCCCGGCGGGCCCUAAAGUCAGUGGCGGUGCCGUCCGGCUCCGAGCGUAGUAAUUCUUCUCGCUCUGGAGGUCCGGUCGUGUGCUCGCCAGCAACCCCCAACUUUUUUCAGGUUGACCUCGGAUCAGGUAGGGAUACCCGCUGAACUUAAGCAUAUCAAUAAGCGGAGGA